rnacentral:rRNA from 1 species
CUCGUAGGUGACCUGCGGAGGUCAUUACAAGUGAGGCUACCGAACGUUGGAAACAGCGGUUAGGAGCUUACACCCACCCGUGUUUACAUACUAUUGUUGCUUUGGCGGGCCGUGGCCUCCACUACGGGCUCUGCUCGUGUGUGCCCGCCAGAGGACCAAACUCUGAAUGUUAGUGAUGUCUGAGUACUAUCUAAUAGUUAAAACUUUCAACAACGGAUCUCUUGGUUCUGGCAUCGAUGAAGAACGCAGCGAAAUGCGAUAAGUAAUGUGAAUUGCAGAAUUCAGUGAAUCAUCGAAUCUUUGAACGCACAUUGCGCCCUGUGGUAUUCCGCAGGGCAUGCCUGUUCGAGCGUCAUUUAACCACUCACGCCUAGCGUGGUAUUGGGGCACGCGGUCUCGCGGCCCUCAAAAUUAGUGGCGGCGCCGGUGGGCUCUAAGCGUAGUACAUACUCCCGCUAUAGAGUUCCCCCGGUGGCUCGCCAGAACCCCCAAUUUUUUACAGGUUGACCUCGGAUCAGGUAGGGAUACCCGCUGAACUUAAGCAUAUCAAAA